rnacentral:rRNA from 1 species
UACACUCCUACGGGAGGCAGCAGUGGGGAAUAUUGCACAAUGGGCGCAAGCCUGAUGCAGCCAUGCCGCGUGUAUGAAGAAGGCCUUCGGGUUGUAAAGUACUUUCAGCGGGGAGGAAGGCGAUAAGGUUAAUAACCUUGUUGAUUGACGUUACCCGCAGAAGAAGCACCGGCUAACUCCGUGCCAGCAGCCGCGGUAAUACGGAGGGUGCAAGCGUUAAUCGGAAUUACUGGGCGUAAAGCGCACGCAGGCGGUCUGUCAAGUCGGAUGUGAAAUCCCCGGGCUCAACCUGGGAACUGCAUUCGAAACUGGCAGGCUAGAGUCUUGUAGAGGGGGGUAGAAUUCCAGGUGUAGCGGUGAAAUGCGUAGAGAUCUGGAGGAAUACCGGUGGCGAAGGCGGCCCCCUGGACAAAGACUGACGCUCAGGUGCGAAAGCGUGGGGAGCAAACAGGAUUAGAUACCCCUGUAGUCCCAU